AUCGCUGAUACUGUUGACUUUAAGGACUGGAGAUGUUUCAUUUCGUCUCAGAAAGAUAGACCCUGAGGCAGUCCAUAUAAACUUAAAAUCUUUUUCUUUCUUUGCUUUGUACGCUUCCUUGAAUGAUUCCUUGUUCUUUGAUGUAAGGCUCUCUGUAAUAAAUAUAUUAUCUUCUCUCACAUAGCCAACAUCCUUGGUUGAGAAUUUUUUUUAAAAGCCUUCUUGCUUUAUACAAACUUUCCUUAAUAUUUCGUCUCCUAAAUUUUACGAUAAUUGGAGGCAUCUCUUUAUUUCGUCCUUUGUAACUUUUGCUGGUUUGAAGCCGAUGAGAUACAGAAAUAUCAUCAUUCUUUAGUUUAACACCAAUUAAAUUGGCAACAUUGAUAACAAUGUUAUCAGUAUAUUCUUUUAUAUACUGAUUAUCAGAAAGAGGCUAUCCUUAAACAUUUUUCACCCAAGAAAGGGAAUAUUUGUUCCCUGAAAAAGGGCACUUGGCAAAACUUGGGGGCCUAGCCCCCCUUCCCCCCCGGUUCCUACGCCCUUGUAAAUGAAGGAUGAAGCUUAAUGAGUUUUAUCAUCUCAUUAUUAUCAAUUGACUAUUGUCUUAAUCGCAUUCGACGACACCGAAAUUCGGCUUAUAAAACGUACAUAAAAUAUUGCCAGCGUGUAUAUAUAAC